rfam:Saprolegnia diclina VS20 unplaced genomic scaffold supercont1.57, whole genome shotgun sequence.
AUACUUACCUGGCUGGAGCUCGACCCUGAUCAACUCGGGGGUUGACUUGGGCCGGAGCAGGCCUUCAUGCACUCCGGUGCUGUAAUGGCCUAGGAGUGCCUUCGGGUUCCUCCACAGCGCAAUUUUUGCCAGCGGGGGUGUGCGCGUGCGCCACCCCCAC